ACUUCUGACGCACCUGGCUGAACCGUAAAUUACACCGGCAAGUUCUCUAUCCGCCGCGACCAUGAUUACGGUAUACGCAACUUUGCAAUUUCUGGCCGGAACACCGGUGUCCGGAUAUCGGUGGAAAUUAGACAGUCCGUUUGGCGCGAGCCUCUCGGCUGAAAAGCCGAUCGACGCAAUCGGAUUCUAGUUCUUUCGCGUAAUCGUGACUCGACUGGUAAUCGCUGGAUUUUCUGUUCCCUGCGGACCGUUCGAAUCGCAGUUAACAGACACUCGGCGUAAUGGACUUCACGAGACCAGCGCUUCAUCAAUUUCGCGAUUCCCCGCCACGGCCAACGAGCGGUUUAAUUACCAUUCUCAAUCAAUCACAAGCCGAUUCAAAAUUCACGGAUCUGGGCAAUCUGAGUCGUUGCACGAGCGAGGGGAACAGGCCAUCAAUUUUCUCGAGCAAGAGACGCCAAAUAGAAUUACUUACACGGCGGACCAUUAAUCGGAUGCGAGGUCGCGUAAUCUGUUAGGCGUUCGGUGUGACACUCGCAGGUAGGAAAGAAGCACAUGGGGUUGCGUGUGUGCGUGUGUGUAAGAGAGAGAGAAGGGUGACGAACGACGGCUGCCAGGGUGAAAUGAAAACGGACGAUAUAAGAAGAAAGAAUCGUACACGAGCGAAACACCGCGUACGUGGGCGUCCGUACGAAGUACAGCGGAGUCGGGGGGUGCUCCUCUAGCUCGAUCAAUACACACUACCAGCAACCCCUCUGCGUCCCACGCCGUCCCUCGUCCAUUUCGUUCACCCCUGACACCCUAUCCUCCCUAUUCCAUUUCGAACGACCCCUACUAUCGUCGGUUUAGAUGCUCGAGACCGCUGUCGUUUAGCUCUACAAGUCUUAUCGCGCGAGCGCCUUCUCGCUUUUUUCGCGCCACUCGCGAGAGGAAAAACCGAUUAGCGUGCACGCGUUUUUUUUUCCUGGCUUUUCACGGCACAGAUCGUUCAACCGGGCUUUGUUAUCGCGCUCGCGGGUUGCCGUACUUCAUUGGGGUUAGACGAGCUGUUUUGAUUUCGUUUUAGAAUCACAAGGGUGGAAUUCCGAUCGGGAUCAUUCGACUGGGAACGAGGCGGAAUGUUUGGUCUCGAUUUCAGUUUAGGCAGAUUGUUGAAAAUGUUUGAUAGAGUUGGGAGAGUCUUUCGACACUGGAUGAGGGUAAAUGAGAGUUAGGUAUCGAUUAUAUCGACGGAGAGUAAAACACUGUGAUCGUGACGCGUAAUUGAUGUUGAGCCGUUCCACGUUAAGUGUUGCGGCAU
rnacentral:misc_RNA from 1 species